ACUCCUACGGGAGGCAGCAGUGGGGAAUAUUGCACAAUGGGCGCAAGCCUGAUGCAGCCAUGCCGCGUGUAUGAAGAAGGCCUUCGGGUUGUAAAGUACUUUCAGCAGUGAGGAAGGUGGGUAUGUUAAUAGCAUAUUCAUUUGACGUUAGCUGCAGAAGAAGCACCGGCUAACUCCGUGCCAGCAGCCGCGGUAAUACGGAGGGUGCGAGCGUUAAUCGGAAUUACUGGGCGUAAAGCGCAUGCAGGUGGUUUGUUAAGUCAGAUGUGAAAGCCCGGGGACUCAACCUCGGAAUUGCAUUUGAAACUGGCAAACUAGAGUACUGUAGAGGGGGGUAGAAUUUCAGGUGUAGCGGUGAAAUGCGUAGAGAUCUGAAGGAAUACCGGUGGCGAAGGCGGCCCCCUGGACAGAUACUGACACUCAGAUGCGAAAGCGUGGGGAGCAAACAGGAUUAGAUACCCUGGUAGGCUACUGC
rnacentral:rRNA from 1 species